GAUGAACGCUGGCGGCGUGCCUAAUACAUGCAAGUAGGACGCAGUUGCGAACGGGUGAGUAAGGCGUAGGUAACUACCUAUUAGAGGGGGAUAACAAUUGGAAACGAUAGCCAAUACCGCAUACUAGUAGAUGGACCUGCGUUGUAUUAGCCAGUAGGUAGGGUAAUAGCCUACCUAGGCAACGAUACAUAGCCGACCGUGUGCGGUGAUCUGCCACACUGGGACUGAGACACGGCCCAGACUCCUACGGGAAGCAGCAGUAGGGAAUCAUCGGCAAUAGGGGGAACCCUGGCCAAGCAACGCCGCGUGAGUUAAGAAGGUUUUCGGAUCGUAAAGCUCUUUUGUUAAGGAAGCGGUACUUAGCCAAAAAGGGACGGCUAACUACGUGCCAGCAGCCGCGGUAAUUC
rnacentral:rRNA from 1 species